CUCAGAUUGAACGCUGGCGGCAGGCCUAACACAUGCAAGUCGAGCGGAUGAAGGGAGCUUGCUCCUGGAUUCAGCGGCGGACGGGUGAGUAAUGCCUAGGAAUCUGCCUGGUAGUGGGGGAUAACGUCCGGAAACGGGCGCUAAUACCGCAUACGUCCUGAGGGAGAAAGUGGGGGAUCUUCGGACCUCACGCUAUCAGAUGAGCCUAGGUCGGAUUAGCUAGUUGGUGGGGUAAAGGCCUACCAAGGCGACGAUCCGUAACUGGUCUGAGAGGAUGAUCAGUCACACUGGAACUGAGACACGGUCCAGACUCCUACGGGAGGCAGCAGUGGGGAAUAUUGGACAAUGGGCGAAAGCCUGAUCCAGCCAUGCCGCGUGUGUGAAGAAGGUCUUCGGAUUGUAAAGCACUUUAAGUUGGGAGGAAGGGCAGUAAGUUAAUACCUUGCUGUUUUGACGUUACCAACAGAAUAAGCACCGGCUAACUUCGUGCCAGCAGCCGCGGUAAUACGAAGGGUGCAAGCGUUAAUCGGAAUUACUGGGCGUAAAGCGCGCGUAGGUGGUUCAGCAAGUUGGAUGUGAAAUCCCCGGGCUCAACCUGGGAACUGCAUCCAAAACUACUGAGCUAGAGUACGGUAGAGGGUGGUGGAAUUUCCUGUGUAGCGGUGAAAUGCGUAGAUAUAGGAAGGAACACCAGUGGCGAAGGCGACCACCUGGACUGAUACUGACACUGAGGUGCGAAAGCGUGGGGAGCAAACAGGAUUAGAUACCCUGGUAGUCCACGCCGUAAACGAUGUCGACUAGCCGUUGGGAUCCUUGAGAUCUUAGUGGCGCAGCUAACGCGAUAAGUCGACCGCCUGGGGAGUACGGCCGCAAGGUUAAAACUCAAAGGAAUUGACGGC
rnacentral:rRNA from 1 species